rnacentral:sRNA from 1 species
CGAAACUGGAACGCUUCACAGAAGAACAAGCAAAAAUGGCUUUCCAAGUACUCUAACAAGCUAGAUACUUCCAACCCCGCUGCAUGAUUUUUGACAUCCCAUUAAGUUUUCUCUCUCAGAACCACACAAUAUUUUGUACCAAUCGUUGCCCUUCAAAUAAAAUGAAGAAAACAGGGAUUUGAGUUAUUAAAUUUAUAUCUGAAGGAAAAGUAUUGUAUUACUAUAAUAUUGAUUAAGACUUUGAUAUAAUUUUCUUUAUAUUCAAAAGUAAUAUUGAGUUUUCUCGUUAUUUCUUCUGGUCCAUAUUGCAGGAUUGUGUUGCUACAAGAUGGUACAGAGCCCCAAAGCUGUAUGGCUCCUUCUUUUCUAAGCUGCAAUUGAAGCACUGUGAAGAUGGUAGAGAAAGUGGAAGAGUUUAACAUGAAGUGAGUGAUAGAGGAAUUUGAGAGGGUGACAAAGGAUGCUAAGAGGUUCAGGACUGCAAAAGGAAUAGAAAAUUAAGAUAAUUUAUUUUUUU